CUUACAUAGCACUUAGUAGUACUUUGUGUAUAUUCAAUCCUCACCAUAACCCUGUGAGGUCUCAUGAGAACUCUCCCAGAGAAUCCUAGAAAUAAAAGGGAGGCUUUGAAUGGGAGCAGGAAAAAGGUGAGGCCCCUGAGUUGUACAGUUUUGGUGUUUUGAGACCUAGAAGACCCUUCAUUAGAGAACUUGAGAAAUUGCUACAAUAAUCAGAUACACACUUGUGCUGAGGAAGAUGGCAGAGUGGGAGGUGCCAGGGAGAGAAUGAUAAUUUCUCCAUAC